ensembl:lncRNA
AGUGCGGGAAUUAUCAUCAGAUGCUAAUAAAGUUUUGUUGAAUCGGUAUGAGACCGUCACCACAGGGUUUCACAAUCCCGAAAACUUUAGCUUUGAGCAAACGCCAAACAUUUGUUGUAAGUCCGUAUUAACGAACCUUGCAAGACGAACCUGAAGAAAAGAAUAAACUCCGUGCUGUUGGUGCUAUCCCUCAGGAGGCCAUCUUGUUGAGGCAUCCACAGCACGCAGGCCUCUGGCUCUCUGAUUAGUGGCUGGUAAAGAAGGACGGCCAUGCCCUACUGAAGCCGCAGCCAACAUCAAACCUCGCUGCUCAGCAGAACAGGCCGUUUGGCUGCCUCAUGCACUGUCCUCCGGCUCAGCAUUAACCAGGAGGUGAACCAACAGGCCCUGGGACGACGUGUCCGCGCCGCUCCGCGGUCACCUCGCUACAGGAAUAACCCCC